CUCCCCUUUUCCUCUCGGCAUACUGGCUUAAACAAAUAAUUACAAUGUUAGUCAAUGCAUUAGUAAAAUAGUAUAUCAUUUGUCAAUGUUACAUCCCUUAAUCAAACAAUUGAAUCAAUAUUGAAAUACAAAUAUUUCAAUUUUUACCAUUGACUAAUUAGUAUUAAGAUACAAUGGCAAUAACCAAAGUAGAAAAAAACCGCAAAUGCUUGAUUGUGGCUGUCAAUGUCCAG
rnacentral:lncRNA from 1 species